UCCCAGAUCGAUUGGAUUUCAGAAAUUACUCAACACAGGUGCCACCUCGUCCAGCCAAGCCCAGGAGAUCAACCUGCUCAGCAGCUGCAAGAGCGGGAUGUUCAUGUGCCUGCUGCCAUCUCCCCAAAGCCAUUAUCCCACUCCUGCUGACAAGAUGGGCAAGAUGAGCAUCUACCUCACAAGAUCUGCUGCCCCAAGAAGAGCGUGUCCCAAAGGAUGUCCUCAGCCUUCUCAGAGGGGACGUCAGAUCCUCUCCAGGGAUGGUCCCAGCCCUUCCCAAUCCGCACUGGGCACCAGCUCCAACUCUUCCCUUGAAAACAAACAACAAAUUCAUGACAAGAGAUUACAAACCAGAAGUGGAAACAAGAAAAAAAGGUAAAAUGUUAACCUUCUGUCAGGGUUCUGAGGAAGGCCCAAGCCCUCCAGGCCAAAGAAAAACCCCACCUCCUCCAGCUCAGGAAAACCCAGGCCUUCUCCCUGCCCUGCUGCACUGGCCCAAAGAAAGGCUCCUAAGCCAAGGCAGCCCAAGCCUUUCCUGGCCUGCAGCCCAAAGCAGCUGGUGUUCUGCAGCCCCGCCUUUGCUCCCCCCACGGGGGUUUGUUUUUGGCAGGCUGGCUGCCCCUGCCCCAGCCCCGCCCAGCAAAGGGGCAGUGGCAGAGGCUGGUGGCAGAGCCGGGCUCCCAUUUCACACCCAGCCCAGAGCACCCGCCCGCCCUCCUGCCAAGAAGCAGCUUGGCAGCCGGCUGAAGAAUUCCUCAGGUUCCCCAGCAGCAAAGGGGGACCCUUCGGUGCCCAGCCAGGCUGAGCAAUGCCCGCGGCCGGGAGCACCCCCGGGUGUGGACUCAUCUGCAAACGGCCUGUGGAGCACGGCUUGGAGGAAGGGGCCACAAUCAAAGUCCAUCAUCUUCAGCUCGCCGGCGUCCAGGUCAACUAAGAGCUUGUCAUCCCUGACGUUGUCCUCGAUGUCUCCAGCAGCAGCCCCACCCGGCACAGCUUCUCCAGAGGCCCCUUCUCCUUCCCUGGGGGCCAGACCAGGCUGUCAGCGUUCUGCCGAGGGCCCAGCUGUCUGUGAAGCGGGACCAGCAAAACCAGGUUGGAUGGUGGCCACCAGCACUUGGGAGACCGGGUCUGCAGCCCAGCUCCAGCACAAAGAGGGGCGUGUUCCCGUGGGAUGACCCCCCCUCAGUGCUACAGGCUGACAAAAAAGUCUGGUUUUCUUGGCUUCUUCUUGCCAAGGGAUGUGUGGAGGUGUUACUUGCCAGGGCCCUGGAUCAAAG
rnacentral:lncRNA from 1 species